CACAAAGGCACUCAGCACACCAAACGCGGGGCAUCCCUCCUGUCCUGCCAGUUUGCAGGCCGUCUGAGCUCAGCUCAUUGAUUGAUUGAUUGGGUGAAAGGAUCAUGGAGAGGAUGCCAUCCAGUUGGAGAUAUGGUGUGAGCUGAAAAUCCCAGAGUAAAUGUCCUUUCCAGGACAGCAGAGACGAAAAGAGCUUUUCUGGCUGGGAGAUUCCAAGAAGGCUUUGUGAAGAAGGAGCAGCAUUAACCCGAGUUUCUCAGUGGGCUCAGACUUACAGGUGGAGAAGGGAAGGGGAUGCGGUGGGAGGAAUGGCAUGGGCAAAGGCCUUCAGUGAGAAAGCUGGGCACACAGCCGUAAAAUGGCUGUGAAUAGGCUGCUUUCCUAGAGCAAAGGGUAAGUGCGGUAAAACGGAAAGGGCGUUGUUCCCAAUUCCUGGAUUAUUAAAACAAAAGCGGGAUAUAUUGGGAAAAGAGUAGGAGGCUGAAUUAUUUGGAUAAUUACAAAACUGUUCCCUUGAAUCCCCGAUUUGCUUUGCUCCCUGUGGGUGGCUUGCCUCCUUUCUCCUUCACCGCGGGGAUCACAGGCUUCAGAAACCCUGAGGGGAAUGUCCCCAGAGAAGAGCCCCUCCCGUCUCCCCUUCUCCCUCAGGUCGUCACUUUGCCUCCUUAACCCCACUCCCACUCCUCAAAGGAAGAAGGUGGUGUUGGAGGAAGACUGGAGGGGGAGCCCCCUAUCUGAGGUCCCCAGACUGUCUUCAGAGAAAGGGAGGAGCAGCCUCAGCUUGGCGUCUGGGGCCCUGUUUCAUCCUUGGGUCCGUGAGGGAAGAGGAUUCUGCUCCCUGCCAGAAACAUUCCUGUAGAGUAUUUGCAUUACAUCCGGCUCACACCCUCUUCCUUCGAAGAACAGAUACCAGGAGAUGGUGUUUGGGCAGGGGGAUGGAGGAAGGAGGGAGAGAGGAGAGGGAGGAGGGGACGAAGAGGAAGAGGAAGAAGACGACAAAGAGGAGAAGAGGAGGAGGAAGAGGAAGAAGAGAAGGGGAGGAGGAAGAGGAGGAAAGAGCAGGAAAAGGAGGAGGAGGAGGAAGGGGAGAAGGAGGAGGGGAGGAGAGGGAGGAGGCGUAGGCAGCCAGCUGUCAGAGCUGCUUAUUUUAUUUUUCUUGCUCCUGGAGCAGGCUGGCAGAGCAGUCCCCGAUAGCAGCAGGAAUGAAGAACAUGGGCCGAAGGAGGAGAUAAUUUAGGCCUGUUUCCCUGGCUGAUUCCGCUGUGCCUCCUUCUAUCUCUCUGCCUCUGAUUCUCUCCUCCUCUGUCUCUCUCAUGGUCUCUGAAGGAGAUGAAUUCCAGGUGACUCUCCGGGCUCCACUGUGCUUCCUGGGAGCUGCGCGCUGGGGGUGAUGUUUGUCCCUUCUCACUGUAGACUGAGCUUGGGAUUUCUCAGCCCCCAGUUACUUAGAUGUGGCUUUGGUCCUCUUUGGGGCCCUAGGGUGGGUGGGGAGCCCACAUUUUCUCUCUCCCCCAUUCUUCUAGAGCCCAGCCAGCCUCCAUGGGCCACCAACUACAUCCUCCAUGGAGAAUCUUCAAAGCUCUAGAGCCCCUAUUCCCAAACCAUUUCCUGUCUUUUUUAUUACAUGGACUUACUCCAAAAAGGAGCGAAAGAACUUGUACAUGUUUCCAUUCUGAUCAGUUCUUUCUGGAUUUUCCGGGCAUUUUUGUUACCAGGUGUCUGAAAGAUCCUGAGUGCUAUGAACUGGCUUUCACAUCUGCGACCUGCUGUAGCCCUCCCACAACACUGGGCCCAGGGGUGUUGAUUUUCUUUUACAAAUGGGGCAACUAAGGCAUGUUAACAGCUGAGCCUAGGUUUGAACCUGGUUCCCCCUGUGCUGGUGCAGAGCUGUUUCCCCUGGGAUAUAUGUCUCCAGUGUCACUGCCCUUCCACUGGGUUUCCUGCUUUUACCUAACAUCGACUCACACGGUCAUUUUCGGGGUGGCAGGGCCUCCUGUCUUGUCGUUUUAAUGGCCACAUGGCAUUCCAUCAUGUUGAUGGAUCAUUUUGUUUGGUCACUCCCUCAUCGUUGGAUAUGUGUGAGGUGUCUAAUUUCUUGCUAUAAUAAAUGCAACUGCUGUAUUUUGUUCAAAUU
rnacentral:lncRNA from 10 species